UACAGAGGUCUCAAGCGUUGUUCGGAUUCAUUGGGCGUAAAGGGUGCGUAGGUGGCGCUGUAAGUCAGGUGUGAAAUUUCGGAGCUUAACUCCGAAACUGCAUUUGAUACUGCGGUGCUUGAGGACUGGAGAGGAGACUGGAAUUUACGGUGUAGCAGUGAAAUGCGUAGAGAUCGUAAGGAAGACCAGUGGCGAAGGCGGGUCUCUGGACAGUUCCUGACGCUGAGGCACGAAGGUCAGGGGAGCAAACGGG
rnacentral:rRNA from 1 species